UCCAAAACGUUUAGGUAAAAAGAAAUAAGUGGUAGAAGUAUAUAACGUUAGACAUAUGCAAUUAAUCAUACAUUAAAAAUAAAUCGUGAGGCAUACACAUUAGCGAAGAUCACCAGUUAUUGAAGAUUAACUGGAUAGAGGACUUUGUAAAGUAAUUAACGAGAGUGAGUAAGUAGCGGAAGUAUCAGCAAAUAUAAGUACACUAACCUCUUGGCCUGGACGGAUGGUUUGAACAACCUCAGGCUCUUUCAUACGUAAACUAUGAAGUUUUCCAUCUCCGGAAAUAUCCUGAUUGCCAGAGGAACUUUUAGCUGUUUUACUAGUACUGUCAUUGCCUCGAGCCUUUGAAUAGAAAGACUCCUGGGACUCAGCAGCGUUAGCUAAAUCCCGAACCUGUGCAUCCAUCAUAUCGCAUAUUUGUUUGCACAUCCCGUUGG